AUUGCCUUACUACGGCGAGUGAAGCGGCAAAAGCUCAAAUUUGAAAUCUAGCACUUUCAGUGUUCGAGUUGUAAUUUGAAGAAGGUAACUUUGGAAUUGGCUCUUGUCUAUGUUCCUUGGAACAGGACGUCACAGAGGGUGAGAAUCCCGUGCGAUGAGAUGUCCAAUUCUAUGUAAAGUGCUUUCGAAGAGUCGAGUUGUUUGGGAAUGCAGCUCUAAGUGGGUGGUAAAUUCCAUCUAAAGCUAAAUAUUGGCGAGAGACCGAUAGCGAACAAGUACAGUGAUGGAAAGAUGAAAAGAACUUUGAAAAGAGAGUGAAAAAGUACGUGAAAUUGUUGAAAGGGAAGGGCUUGAGAUCAGACUUGGUAUUUUGUGUUCCUUAUUCUUUUUGGAUUUGGUUCCUCACAGCUUACCGGGCCAGCAUCGGUUUGGAUGGUAGGAUAAUGACAUUGGAAUGUAGCUUUGCUUCGGUGAAGUGUUAUAGACUUUGUUGAUACUGCCUAUCUAGACCGAGGACUGCGUCUUUGACUAGGAUGCUGGCGUAAUGAUCUUAAGCCGCCCGUCUUGAACACGGAACCAA
rnacentral:rRNA from 1 species